AGGCCCUUCGGGGUACACGAGCGGCGAACGGGUGAGUAACACGUGAGCAACCUGCCCCUGACUCCGGGAUAAGCGGUGGAAACGCCGUCUAAUACCGGAUACGACCUCCCACCUCAUGGUGGAGGGUGGAAAGUUUUUCGGUCAGGGAUGGGCUCGCGGCCUAUCAGCUUGUUGGUGGGGUAACGGCCUACCAAGGCGAUUACGGGUAGCCGGCCUGAGAGGGCGACCGGCCACACUGGGACUGAGACACGGCCCAGACUCCUGCGGGAGGCAGCAGUGGGGAAUAUUGCGCAAUGGGCGAAAGCCUGACGCAGCGACGCCGCGUGGGGGAUGACGGCCUUCGGGUUGUAAACCUCUUUUACCACCAACGCAGGCUCCCAGUUCUCUGGGGGUUGACGGUAGGUGGGGAAUAAGGACCGGCUAACUACGUGCCAGCAGCCGCGGUAAUACGUAGGGUCCGAGCGUUGUCCGGAAUUAUUGGGCGUAAAGAGCUCGUAGGCGGCGUGUCGCGUCUGCUGUGAAAGACCGGGGCUUAACUCCGGUUCUGCAGUGGAUACGGGCAUGCUAGAGGUAGGUAGGGGAGACUGGAAUUCCUGGUGUAGCGGUGAAAUGCGCAGAUAUCAGGAGGAACACCGGUGGCGAAGGCGGGUCUCUGGGCCUUACCUGACGCUGAGGAGCGAAAGCAUGGGGAGCGAACAGGAUUAGAUACCCUGGUAGUCC
rnacentral:rRNA from 1 species